UAAGGAAUAUUGGUCAAUGGACGAAAGUCUGAACCAGCCAUGCCGCGUGGAGGAUGAAGGCCCUCUGGGUUGUAAACUUCUUUUAUAGGGGACGAAAAAGGGUCUUUCUAGAUCAACUGACGGUACCCUAGGAAUAAGCACUGGCUAACUCCGUGCCAGCAGCCGCGGUAAUACGGAGGGUGCAAGCGUUAUCCGGAUUCACUGGGUUUAAAGGGUGCGUAGGUGGGUUAGUAAGUCAGUGGUGAAAUCUUCGAGCUUAACUCGGAAACUGCCAUUGAUACUAUUAGUCUUGAAUAUUGUGGAGGUUAGCGGAAUAUGUCAUGUAGCGGUGAAAUGCUUAGAUAUAACAUAGAACACCAAUUGCGAGGGCGGCUGGCUACACAUAUAUUGACACUAAGGCACGAAGGCGUGGGAAUCAAAC
rnacentral:rRNA from 1 species